GCCCACAGAGCCCACAGAGCCCACAGAGCCCACAGAGCCCACAGAGCCAAGACACACUGAAACAGGACAGAAACAUGAGGACUCUCUCCUUUAUUCUGGUACUCAGUCUAUCCCUUUCCUCAGUCGAUGCACUGAUAUGCUAUUCGUGCCGUUCAACCGCCUCCAAUGCAGAGUGUAAUCAGACAAACGAAACAUGCCUGGCUGCUCAGGAUACGUGUAUGACCACCGAGGAAAGUGCUGGAGAUAAGAAAAGCCUGAUGAAACAGUGUACCAGUUUGGCUGACUGUGAGAGAGUUCAGCACAAUGCUGGUUCGGAUCCCCCGGAAAAGGCAACCAGGUGACCUGCUGUAGGUCUGAUCUGUGUAACAGUGGAGCUACUACCAUCCACACCCACACAGCUCUCCUGCUUCUGCCAAUAGGUGUCCUUUCUCUCCUCAGCAAAUAUUACAGAUAGACCUAAAUGUUCUAAUGUAAUAUUAAGUGAGAGCUAACCGGAACAUGCACAUACUGUAUGUAUGCAGAAUGUAACCAGGAUGUAUUUGAAAUGGGACUAUAAUUGCGCUACAACGUAUUAAUGGAGUUUUUUCACUUGUACUUAUUAGAAAUCAACUGUACUUUAAAUAAAGAUGAAAUAAUGAAGAGACUGUAAGGUUAAAUUAUUACCAUUAAAUGAUUUAUCUGUAUCUCUGUUGCAUUGUCAUGACUAAAUAUGAAAUGAUUUAUCUGCAUCUCUGUUACAUUGUCAUGACUAAAUAUGAAAUGAUUUAUCUGCAUCUCUGUUGCA